UGCCUUACCUGGCAGGGAAAACACCAUGAUCAAGCAGGUGGUUUUCCCAGGGCGAGGCUCAUCCCUUGCACUCCGGGUGGGUUUUUUAUUGGUUUUUUUUAGGUGUUUAAGAGACGGGUGGAUGUUGUGUUGGGGGGAAUUUUUUAGGAGGUUG
rnacentral:snRNA from 14 species